UACGUAGGGUCCGAGCGUUGUCCGGAAUUACUGGGCGUAAAGAGCUCGUAGGUGGUUUGUCGCGUUGUUCGUGAAAACUCACAGCUCAACUGUGGGCGUGCGGGCGAUACGGGCAGACUUGAGUACUGCAGGGGAGACUGGAAUUCCUGGUGUAGCGGUGGAAUGCGCAGAGUAUCAGGAAGAACACCGAUGGCGAAGGCAGUUCUCUGGGCCGUAACUGACGCUGAGGAGCGAAAGCGUGGGGAGCGAACAGGA
rnacentral:rRNA from 1 species